rnacentral:rRNA from 1 species
GACGAACGCUGGCGGCGUGCCUAAUACAUGCAAGUAGAACGAUGAAGGAGGAGCUUGCUUCUCUGGAUGAGUUGCGAACGGGUGAGUAACGCGUAGGUAACCUACCUCGUAGCGGAGGAGAACCAAUGAAAACGAUAUGUAAUCCCGCAUAAUAGUUGACGUCGCAGGAUAUUCGCUUAAUGGGUGCAGUUGUAUCACUACGAGAUGGGCGCGCGUUGGAUUAGCUAGUGGGGGGGGUAACGGCCCACCAAGGCGACGCUGCAUAGCUGACCUGAGAGGAUGAUCAGCCACACUGGGACUGGGACACGGCGCGGACUCCUACGGGAGGCAGCAGUGGGGAAUAUUGGACAAUGGGCGAAAGCCUGAUCCAGUAAUGCCGCGUGAGUGAUGAAGGACUUAGGGUUGUAAAGCUCUUUUACCCGGGAUGAUAAUGACAGUACCGGGAGAAUAAGCUCCGGCUAACUCCGUG